CGGCAGCACGGGGGCAACCCUGGUGGCGAGUGGCGAACGGGUGAGUAAUACAUCGGAACGUGUCCUGUAGUGGGGGAUAGCCCGGCGAAAGCCGGAUUAAUACCGCAUACGCUCUACGGAGGAAAGGGGGGGAUCUUAGGACCUCUCGCUACAGGGGCGGCCGAUGGCAGAUUAGCUAGUUGGUGGGGUAAAGGCCUACCAAGGCGACGAUCUGUAGCUGGUCUGAGAGGACGACCAGCCACACUGGGACUGAGACACGGCCCAGACUCCUACGGGAGGCAGCAGUGGGGGAUUUUGGACAAUGGGCGCAAGCCUGAUCCAGCAAUGCCGCGUGUGUGAAGAAGGCCUUCGGGUUGUAAAGCACUUUUGUCCGGAAAGAAAACUUCUGCCCUAAUACGGCGGGAGGAUGACGGUACCGGAAGAAUAAGCACCGGCUAACUACGUGCCAGCAGCCGCGGUAAUACGUAGGGUGCAAGCGUUAAUCGGAAUUACUGGGCGUAAAGCGUGCGCAGGCGGUUCGCUAAGACAGAUGUGAAAUCCCCGGGCUUAACCUGGGAACUGCAUUUGUGACUGGCGGGCUAGAGUAUGGCAGAGGGGGGUAGAAUUCCACGUGUAGCAGUGAAAUGCGUAGAGAUGUGGAGGAAUACCGAUGGCGAAGGCAGCCCCCUGGGCCAAUACUGACGCUCAUGCACGA
rnacentral:rRNA from 1 species